rnacentral:tRNA from 1 species
GGGUCCAUAGCUCAGUUGGUAGAGCAGCUCCCUCUUAAGGAGACGGUCGAGAGUUCGAAUCUCUCUGGGCCCA